GAUUCGGGGUGCAGCAGGCGCGAAAACUUUACAAUGCUGGCAACAGCGAUAAGGGGACCUCGAGUGCCAGGAUACAAUCUUGGCUGUCGCGAUGCCUAAAAAGCAUUGCAUAGCAAGGGCCGGGCAAGACCGGUGCCAGCCGCCGCGGUAACACCGGCGGCUCGAGUGGUAACCGCUAUUAUUGGGUCUAAAGGGUCUGUAGCCGGCCGGAUAAGUCUCUUGGGAAAUCCAGCAGCUCAACUGUUGGGCUUUCAGGAGAUACUGUUCGGCUCGAGGCCGGGAGAGGUGAGAGGUACUUCAGGGGUAGGGGUGAAAUCUUGUAAUCCUUGAAGGACCACCAGUGGCGAAGGCGUCUCACCAGAACGGUCCUGACGGCAAGGGACGAAAGCUAGGGGCACGAACCGGAUUAGAUACCCGGGUAGUCCUAGCCGUAAACGAUACUCGCUAGGUGUCAGCCACGGUGCGACCGUGGUUGGUGCCGUAGGGAAGCCGUGAAGCGAGCCACCUGGGAAGUACGGCCGCAAGGCUGAAACUUAAAGGAAUUGGCGGGGGAGCACAAUCACUAGUGAAU
rnacentral:rRNA from 1 species